AGUGAACGCUGGCGGUAGGCCUAACACAUGCAAGUCGAACGGCAGCACAGUAAGAGCUUGCUCUUACGGGUGGCGAGUGGCGGACGGGUGAGGAAUACAUCGGAAUCUACUUUUUCGUGGGGGAUAACGUAGGGAAACUUACGCUAAUACCGCAUACGACCUACGGGUGAAAGCAGGGGAUCUUCGGACCUUGCGCGAUUGAAUGAGCCGAUGUCGGAUUAGCUAGUUGGCGGGGUAAAGGCCCACCAAGGCGACGAUCCGUAGCUGGUCUGAGAGGAUGAUCAGCCACACUGGAACUGAGACACGGUCCAGACUCCUACGGGAGGCAGCAGUGGGGAAUAUUGGACAAUGGGCGCAAGCCUGAUCGAGCAAUACCGCGUGGGUGAAGAAGGCCUUCGGGUUGUAAAGCCCUUUUGUUGGGAAAGAAAAGCAGCAGGUUAAUACCCCGAUGUUCUGACGGUACCCAAAGAAUAAGCACCGGCUAACUUCGUG
rnacentral:rRNA from 1 species